rnacentral:lncRNA from 1 species
AGAGGCAAGUAAGAAGACACAUCAGGGCUGGGACCUGGCUGUCCCUUCCCAAAGCCAGCUGCUCUCACAGAAGACCCAUGGUUCAGUGGAGGGUAUUUCUUUCUGCAUGGAGAUUGCUGUGUCCCGGAAUGGUGAGCCUAUGUGGUGUUUCCUGAUUGCUCGUCCCCUCCUGAGUUUCUGAGUUUCUCAUUGGAAUUUGCUAUUGGGAACCCCACUCAAAAAUGGACAGCAAGAGAUCAGGAUCACUGCAUUCAGUCCUCAUGUCCUGCCCCCAUUAGGAAGCCCCAGUCUGGCCAUCUCAGAUUCUUCAAGACAAGACAUUUCUACAUGCCCUUUCUUCCCAGUUCAAUAUCUACUCCCCUUAUCCUUCCACUAGGGUCUGAGCUGCUAUGAAUGCCCUCACCAGCUAUUGAGUCACCCAGCACCCUUCUGUUUGAGGAACUGUAAUGAGUGAAACAACUGGUCCUCUUGGGACCCUUACUGUGUCACACACAUGCCCUCACCACACCAAGCUGAGCUGUUGUGAAAUGAUCUCUCCCCCUCAAGUCAGGAAGCCCCACAAGCCCACAGCCACCAUGGCAAGGAGUCCACAGCCCAGCCUUGCACCCUGCACCCAGUGUUGGAAAACCCUGAGGAACCUGUCACUAAGUAACCAAUGACUGAGGUCCCUACUUUCCCAGAAGGAGCUAGAAACACCUGCCGAAUGGUUGUUCUCAAACUUACCACUCUCGUCUGCUGACCUGCGGCCAUUGGCAUGUCACCUGGGUUAGGUGUGAACGGGUUAGUUCACCACUGCGAGUCCCUCCUUCUCCUUGCAAUGUAGACAUCCAGGGCAGGGACUUCUCACAACUGUCUCCCAGGGCCAAGCCCAGUGCUCAGACACGAUAGUUACUGAGUAAGUACCUGUUGGCAACAGACCAAUGACUAGCCUCGGGUCAUCUGUUAGCCAUCUUCCUUCUUCCCCCAAAACGAGACAGAUCCCCAUGGGGCCAGGAACCUUCAGGUUCCGUAUCUCCACCAUCUCCAGCAUACUGGGAAGCAUCCUUUAGCACUGCAACUACUCCCAGCGACUGUUUCUGGACCAACUAUUUCCUCUACUACAGGCUUCUAAGGGCCGUCCCCUUUGGGACUACUUUCCCCUUGCCUCGUUAGCAUCUGUUUAUCAGAACUGACCACAUGAAUUCACCUCUUGAUGUAAUAGUAAGCCUUAAUUUAUACUAAAUAUUUAAAAAGCAACUUCUUAAAGCCGGUAUGGUGGAUCAUGGCUGUAAUGCCCAGCAGUUGGGAGGCUGUGGGGACAGAAGGUGGUCAUGAGCCCCAGGUCACACAGGACUGCAGAGUGAGGCACUGUCUCAGAAGAGAAAAAUCCACUUCCCAGAUUCCCUGCCUGUGGAUAAACUCCCAGCAGAAUUUGACCCCCUUCCUGUUCCUUGGGCAAGUGAUUGGUUUGUUUGUUGGGCCCCUCCCUGUGAAGGUUAAGUUCAUGCAUGAACUUCAUUACUUAUUUUUCUACAAAACAAGGUGGGGCUCUUAGAGACAUGACCCUGCCACUGAUACUUUUGACCUCGACCACUACUGGCCAGAUAUGGGAGUAACCUGAUUGCUGAAAAUUUAAUGUUUUCUUCCAGGCUCUAGAUGCCACCCUCCCUGCACCCCCUCUCCACCUCCCACUUGGAUAAUUAACAAAGAGCUGAACCUUCCAAAUCUCUCUAGGAGAGCUUUUCCACCCUAGGCUAAGGGGUUUCAUGAGCGUAAUGAAGGUUGGUUAGAAGAAUAUUCUCUGAAAUGUCUGACCUUACUCUACACUGUCCUUUCCCGGGGACUCGCUGACCCACCCUCUACAGGCUCCCUCAACACAGAGUCCACAGUCGCCUGAGGCUUCUCUCUGAGUGACACCUUGUGAUUAGUGCCACUCACAGCAUGGCCUGUCACAUGGCACGGCCUGCUGUAUCACCACCUUCAAUAUUAGCUUCCUCUGGAGUGCCAGCCUGAGCGGCACGUUGGGACAGGCCCAGAACGAACCACAGAGAACCAGAGAAGCAAAACACCUCCUUCAAAAGCAGACAGCUUCACCCACUGGCCUCUCAGAGCAUGUCUGUAGGGCAUCAACCUUGCUACACAUUGCCUCGCUCAUCUCAGCAGCUUGCAGGACCUGAUGAAAGCCUCCAUUACCACCCCUAAAGCUUGCACAAUCAACACCAUAUAGAUAAUGCUGACAAGUUCUUCAGUCAGCUCAAUAUGGUCUGGUGUGUCUGAAGACAGCUACAGUGUACUCACAUACAAUAAAUAAAUAUAUCUUUAAAAAAAAAAAAAGAUUUUCCUAAUCCCAUUAUCCUAAUGUUACAGGUCAGAAAGUUGAAUUCAGAGGCUAAUAGCUUGCUCAGAGACGCAUGGCUAUAAGCACUGAGCUAGACCUGCUGGGUUCUCCUACAUGCUUGCAGCAGAACUUUCCCCCAAUUGACUUAAAUAUUAAUACAACAAGAAGCCUGUGACUGUGCAGUGGAAAAGGAAGGUGGGCAGAGAAUUUUUGAGACAGGAGAGAGAAGACAGAGAGGAGAAGGAAAGAAGGUGGAGGAGAUUUCACAUGGCUUUAAAUAGCCACGGGUAGCUAUGACUGUCUUAUAAGGGAUGGAUAAUUACAAGACAAUUUGUCCAAUCCAGGUGGGCAGUUUAUAUCAACAUCAAUUGGCUCUGAGUUCACUGUGCGGCCAUUUUGUGGAGUGAGAAUUUACUGACAUAAAUCUGACUUAUAAAUUACAAGCCUCUAGAGUGUUGACUUUACUGGGUUACUGGGAUUUGGGACCAUUGACCACAGCGAGUAGAUGGCUGAGAAUGUGAGCAGAAUGCGCAGCAAGAGAACCACAGAUGGGCGGUCGCUGCAUAGGGUUAACCAUGGAGGCAGCAAGGUCACCGGGGUCAGAGAAUAGCAGGCGAUAGCGCAGGACUAUCGCCUUUUUUUUUUUAAAUCUGAACAAACCCUGUAUUCUUUAGACUCUUAUCUCUAAGACUCCAAACAGCUACACAUGUUACAGCAUUCAACAAAAAUAUUAUAGACAUUUUUCUGCUUUUCAUUGUCAACUUACAGGACUGUGGCUCAAAAAAUAUCCUGAAACAUUUUUAUAAAUCAACUGAGAUAGAACUUAUAUGUGUCUGCUUAAACCUUAUUCCCCCAAACCAAAGCUAACAGCCAAGAGCUGCUGGUUGUUUUUGUUUCUGAGACAGGGUCUUGAUGAUAUAGCCCUGGCUAGCUGGUAACUAUGCAAAUCAGACUGGCCUUGAACUGCCUGCCCCUGUCUCCCAGUGCUGGGGUUAAAGACGUGUGCCACCGCAAAGAAUAGCUGGUGUUUUAGCAGUCCGAGAUACACAUUAGUCUAACUGGAAGACUGAACUGAAAGCAACCACAGCAGAAAGCCGAAAUCUGUCAGCUAAUUUGAUAAAACAGUAUUGGUCUCAAAAUUACCAGCCAUUUCUUUUAGCUGAUACUUCUUUUACUAGCUUUAUAAAUUGAAAAUGAACAGUCUAAUUUAACUAUAAAGCUGAGUUCUCAUUUUUUGCACUGUUAUUUUUUAAAAUAGUUUUUAACUUAAUUUAUUCGCAUUAUAUUUUUAAACUCCACAUUCUUUCCUAUAUAGUUGCAUGUCAAAAAAAUACUAAAUGGUUUCACGGUUUGCUGAAAUACAUGUAGGAAAACAUAGAUCUGUGACAUAAUAGCUUGCUUAAAUAUCUCUUAAAGAAACAUAAUUAAUUUAGAGAGUUCCAACACAUUUUUUAAAAAAUUU